GAUGAACGCUGGCGGCGUGCCUAAUACAUGCAAGUCGAGCGAACAGACGAGGAGCUUGCUCCUCUGACGUUAGCGGCGGACGGGUGAGUAACACGUGGAUAACCUACCUAUAAGACUGGGAUAACUUCGGGAAACCGGAGCUAAUACCGGAUAAUAUAUUGAACCGCAUGGUUCAAUAGUGAAAGACGGUUUUGCUGUCACUUAUAGAUGGAUCCGCGCCGCAUUAGCUAGUUGGUAAGGUAACGGCUUACCAAGGCAACGAUGCGUAGCCGACCUGAGGGGGUGAUCGGCCACACUGGAACUGAGACACGGUCCAGACUCCUACGGGAGGCAGCAGUAGGUAAGCUUCCGCAAUGGGCGAAAGCCUGACGGAGCAACGCCGCGUGAGUGAAGAAGGUCUUCGGAUCGUAAAACUCUGUUAUUAGGGAAGAACAAAUGUGUAAGUAACUAUGCACGUCUUGACGGUACCUAAACAGAAAGCCACGGCUAACUACGU
rnacentral:rRNA from 1 species